rnacentral:misc_RNA from 1 species
GAAAUGCGAUAAGUAAUGUGAAUUGCAGAAUUCAGUGAAUCAUCGAAUCUUUGAACGCACCUUGCGCUCCUUGGUAUUCCUUGGAGCAUGCCUGUUUGAGUAUCAUGAAAUCUUCAAAGUAAAUCUUUUGUUAACUCAAUUGGUUUCUACUUUGGUAUUGGAGGUCUUUGCAGCUUCACACCUGCUCCUCUUUGUUCAUUAGCUGGAUCUCAGUGUUAUGCUUGGUUCCACUCGGCGUGAUAAGUUAUCUAUCGCUGAGGACACUGUAAAAGGUGGCCAAGGUAAAUGCAGAUGAACCGCUUCUAAUAGUCCAUUGACUUGGACAAUACUUUUAUGAUCUGAUCUCAAAUCAGGUAGGACUACCCGCUGAACAUAAGCA